rnacentral:lncRNA from 1 species
UCGACACCACCGCGUACCCGCUGAGGUCAUAGCACGUGUCGAGGAUCGACAGCGCGUCGGCCGCCGGGGACUUCGCCAUGCCCUUCCGGAAAGCAUCCCUGAGGACCGCAUACGCCGUCGGCGGAAGCCGCGUGAUGACGGUGCCGGAGUCGAUGAUGGCGCCGCCGGAGGAGAACGUGGAGGAGGAGAAGGCGAGGUUUACGCCGGCGACGCUUAUGCCGGUGAUGUCAAGGCCGUAGAAGGAGGCGCCGCGGGAGAUGGUGGAGAAGGGGGUAGAGGUGGCCGACGGCGCUGGUGGUGGAGGGGAGGCAGUAUGAGAAUUUCUUUUGGUAUUUUUGGGAGGUUUGUUGGACGAAGGAGAUGGGGUGGCGGCCGAGGCCUAAUAGGCCGGCGGCGCCGUUGAAGAGGCCCUGGUUGUUUUGGCCGCAGCCGAAUAGGAAGUUGUCGACGACGUCGGUGGGCGUCACCGUCAGGCGCUCACGGCUGAAGAAGCCGACGGAGAAGGAGGAGUCGCCGUAUUGGAUGCCGUACACGCAUGCCUUUGUGAUUGUGGCACAUGCCGGG